rnacentral:ncRNA from 1 species
GCUAAGAACGGAAGUGAUGAAGCACAUUCGUCAUCUGGGCACUUAGGAUGUGUGGAGCGAGUGGUGCAACCGGCCUUUCUUGAU